AUUUACUUGUUUUGCUCCAGACUCGUUAUUUCACCUCCACUCGAUUCACUGUCCUAAACUCAUGAAACAAGAAAUGGAGAAUGAGAAAAUAGUGUACAGAGUAAUUUCUCAUUGAAAUCUUGAUUUCUAUCAACCAAACAUCCCUCAACUUCGUUGUAAGUGCUCCGUAAUUAUUUCUACCGUUAUGAAUUCACAAUCACCAACUAUUACUCUCCAUUUAUUGGUUUGAUCAAAUUUCCAAAAAAUUAACACGACCUUCUGCACGCCAACUGUUUGAUGAAAUGCCUCAUAGAGUGUCAGCAUAUAGGAAGGACUUAUUCUUAAAAAGUCAGAUGAAUUCAGAAAUUACCAAUAAUGACAUCUUUGAAGCUGUUUUCUGAAAUCUUUACACAGCCAGCUCUAGACUUGAAUCCGUCACCAG